rnacentral:tRNA from 1 species
UUCCUGGUGGUCCAGUGGCUAAGACUCUGAGCUCCCAAUGCAGGGAGCCAGGGUUCGAACCCUGCUCAGGGAA